UCUUGGUCAUUUAGAGGAAGUAAAAGUCGUAACAAGGUUUCCGUAGGUGAACCUGCGGAAGGAUCAUUACCGAAUUGUCAACACGAGUUGUUGCUGGUCCCCAUACAGGGGCAUGUGCACGCUCUGUUCGCACAUCCAUUCACACCUGUGCACCUUYUGUGGUUCUAUGGCUUGGAGGACUCUGUCUUCCUCUGCUGUGGUUCUGCAUCUUUACACACACACACUGUAACAAAGUCUCAUGGGAUGUAUGCUGCGUGUAACGCAAUACAAUACAACUUUCAGCAACGGAUCUCUUGGCUCUCGCAUCGAUGAAGAACGCAGCGAAAUGCGAUAAGUAAUGUGAAUUGCAGAAUUCAGUGAAUCAUCGAAUCUUUGAACGCACCUUGCGCCCUUUGGUUAUUCCGGAGGGCAUGCCUGUUUGAGUAUCAUGAACACCUCAACUCCCAUGGUUUGCCAUGGUAGCUUGGACUUUGGAGGUUUUGCUGGCCAGCGGUCGGCUCCUCUCAAAUGAAUCAGCUUGCCAGUGUCUGGUGGUUCACAGGUGUGAUAAAUAUCUAUGCCUGUGGUUUUCCACCAGGUAACCUUCAGUGAUGGAGGUUUGCUGGGGUUUACAGAUGUCUCCUCCCUUGGUGAGGGCGGCUCUUUGAAG
rnacentral:rRNA from 1 species